rnacentral:rRNA from 1 species
UCUGAUGUGAAAGCCCCCGGCUCAACCGGGGAGGGUCAUUGGAAACUGGGAAACUUGAGUGCAGAAGAGGAGAGUGGAAUUCCACGUGUAGCGGUGAAAUGYGUAGAGAUGUGGAGGAACACCAGUGGYGAAGGYGACUCUCUGGUCUGUAACUGACGCUGAGGAGCGAAAGCGUGGGGAGCGAACAGGAUUAGAUACCCUGGUAGUCCACGCYGUAAACGAUGAGUGCUAAGUGUUAGGGGGUUUCCGCCCYUUAGYGCUGCAGCUAACGCAUUAAGCACUCCGCYUGGGGAGURCGGUCGCAAGACUGAAAYUCAAAGGAAUUGACGGGGGCCCGCACAAGCGGUGGAGCAUGUKGUUUAAUUCGAAGCAACGCGAAGAACCUUACCAGGUCUUGACAUCCUCUGACAACCCUAGAGAUAGGGCUUUCCCUUCGGGGACAGAGUGACAGGUGGUGCAUGGUUGUYGUCAGCUCGUGUCGUGAGAUGKUGGGUUAAGUCCCGCAMCGAGCGCAACCCUUGAUCUUAGUUGCCAGCAUUCAGUUGGGCACUYUAAGGUGACUGCCGGUGACAAACCGGAGGAAGGUGGGGAUGACGUCAAAUCAUCAUGCCCCUUAUGACCUGGGCUACACACGUGYUACAAUGGACAGAACAAAGGGCUGCGAGACCGCAAGGUUUAGCCAAUCCCACAAAUCUGUUCUCAGUUCGGAUYGCAGUCUGCAACUCGACUGCGUGAAGCUGGAAUCGCUAGUAAUCGCGGAUCAGCAUGCCGCGGUGAAUACGUUCCCGGGCCUUGUACACACCGCCCGUCACACCWCGAGAGUUUGCAACACCCGAMGUCGGU